GGCGAACGCUGGCGGCGUGCUUAACACAUGCAAGUCGAACGGUAAGGCCCUUCGGGGUACACGAGUGGCGAACGGGUGAGUAACACGUGGGUGAUCUGCCCUGCACUUCGGGAUAAGCCUGGGAAACUGGGUCUAAUACCGGAUAGGACCACUGCCUGCAUGGGUGGUGGUGGAAAGCUUUUGCGGUGUGGGAUGGGCCCGCGGCCUAUCAGCUUGUUGGUGGGGUGAUGGCCUACCAAGGCGACGACGGGUAGCCGGCCUGAGAGGGUGACCGGCCACACUGGGACUGAGAUACUGCCCAGACUCCUACGGGAGGCAGCAGUGGGGAAUAUUGCACAAUGAGCGCAAGCCUGAUGCAGCGACGCCGCGUGAGGGAUGACGGCCUUCGGGUUGUAAACCUCUUUCAGCACCGACGAAGCGCAAGUGACGGUAGGCGCAGAAGAAGGACCGGCCAACUACGUGCCAGCAGCCGCCGUAA
rnacentral:rRNA from 1 species